GAUGAACGCUGGCGGCGUGCCUAAUACAUGCAAGUCGAGCGAACGGACGAGACGCUUGCUUCUCUGAUGUUAGCGGCGGACGGGUGAGUCACACGUGGAUAACCUACCUAUAAGACUGGGAUAACUUCGGGAAACCGGAGCUAAUACCGGAUAAUAUUUUGAACCGCAUGGUUCAAAAGUGAAAGACGGUCUUGCUGUCACUUAUAGAUGGAUCCGCGCUGCAUUAGCUAGUUGGUAAGGUAACGGCUUACCAAGGCAACGAUGCAUAGCCGACCUGAGAGGGUGAUCGGCCACACUGGAACUGAGACACGGUCCAGACUCCUACGGGAGGCAGCAGUAGGGAAUCUUCCGCAAUGGGCGAAAGCCUGACGGAGCAACGCCGCGUGAGUGAUGAAGGUCUUCGGAUCGUAAAACUCUGUUAUUAGGGAAGAACAGAUGUGUAAGUAACUGUGCACAUCUUGACGGUACCUAAUCAGAAAGCCACGGCUAACUACGUG
rnacentral:rRNA from 1 species